CAGUCGAUUUAUUGGAUGAUUUUAACUGUGCUCCAAAACAAGAUCAGAAUAAUUUGUGCACCACAUGCCACCACAUGCAUAACCUGACGACUAUCGUAUUUACUCGAAGAUAGGUCAAACACGAAUAUAGGUCGACCCCUAUAUAUUGAACUCGCCGAAAAAUUAAAAAUUAUAAUUCAAAUAUAGGUUGACCUAUAUCUUUUUAGAAAAAUGAAAAAUUUAGAGCAUGACACACCUUUAUUUACCAUAAGCUCGGCUACUAAGUCUUGCUAGUCAAUGCGACAAGCUGCAACCUCGUGGAAAGUGCCAGUGAAGUCAUCCUCGUCGGAUGCUUCGCCGGCGUCCUCGGCACCCCAAACAACACCUGCCUCGGUGCAGUUGAGUUGGUCAGAUAUGCAGCAUUCCCUAAAACCAAUUUGAAUGAUCUCCACACUGGCUUUAUGACGGGUGCUACGUUAGCUGUUUUAGCUCUAUACUUUUGCUAGCUUUGUUCACAAAUAUAGGUCGAUAGUUAACUUUAGGGUAACAUUAAAAAAAAAAAGGGUUACCUAUAUUCUAAUAAAUAUGGUACUCUCUUAGUUCUGGCGUCAUUUGUCCUUUAUAAGUUCAUGGAGGAAAGCAAAGAAAACUUAGUUGGAUGUAACCACUUCCAUCAUGAGACAAGAGCCCGAAGUGUAGUUUCCAGUAUCAAAAGAAACAGCACAUAACGUUUAAUUUGGAUAACUGUUUCAGAUGCAGCUUUGUUAUGCUGGUUCUUUGGUGUGUGAAGAUUCAGCAAACUAUGUUAUGUUACCAAAUUUACAGCUCCCGCUGCUAGCUUUACUUACCCUCUACGAGACAGCAAUACAUAUUACAUUUAACUUAUAGCCAGUAGCAGUGUCGGGUUUUGCACAACCCGGAAAAGUAUAUCAAGCCUAAUAUGUUACGUUGCUAUCUGCUAAAUGCACAGGGCAUCUAUUGGUAGGAUAUAGGAUUUUUGCCUUUGAUCAAGUCACAUUGGACAUGUAUAAGCUACUGAAGUUUCAGCUUGUUCUUGGCUGGAGCAAACCAAACACUGUACACUCAUGUUUGAGCAGCAUGGCAGAAGAUCAAUAUGCACACAAUGUUGUUCUGCGCAUUUCUAUGAUGAUGAGGAAUGUACAUGUUAAAGGUGGCACUUAAAUCUGGUAACUUCGUUAUGGUAUUGACAUUGUGGCAGCAUAUAUGAAUUUGUUAAGCUCAGGGCUGUAGCCUUUAUCCUUUAAAGGCUGGUGUCCCUUCUUUCUCCAAGUUUGGCUUCUUCGUAUAUUAUAGUGCUAUUUAGGAAGAAUGGAAGGUUGAAUUUGAGCUUGCAAGCUUUCAGCAUUCCGAGCCAUUUAGAAAGUGAUGUGUGUAGCAAAUACACUAAAUAUCCAUCUGCUGGACACAUAAUCCAGGAAUUCCCAAUAUAGCUCAAGGUGCCCAGCUAGACCAGCUUGCUUGCAUAGAGAUGCUGGUCGAGUGGAUCUUCAGUCAUAAGACAAGCCGUGCAUGCUUUCUGACCUCGUAUUCAGUGCAUAACGAGCCUGAAGAAUGCAGAACAAAUGGGACUGGAAGUUCUGCUAUGCAGCAGUAAAAAAUAUAUACUGCACAAUGUUACACAGAAUGUCUCACAGUAUUCUCUGCAGUGCUGCACAGCAUUGUGUUCUAUAUCAAUAUUUCACAACUAAUAAAUGGCUGCUUGACCCAAUUGACAUAGGUAUCACAUUGACUAACUUGCUCACAAAAAAAAUGUGCAUGAUGUGAACUGCUUAAGAUAGAAACCAUAGGCAAACACGCCAUAUCUGCACUAACGCGUCCUUGCACGAGGUUACCACAUUGUGAAAACAGCUCACACUAUAUUUGAAGCCAUGCUCCAAAUAAUAUAACGCAAGAGACUUUUAUUCUUUUUCCUGCCUUAAAAUGCAGCAAGCUUAACCGCUAGCGACUGACCUCAGCGCAGAGUCAACCUCUCGAUUUCCUAGAGAGAAUGAGACCCGCAUGUGCAGGGUGGAGUGUGGAUGGAAAAGCACAACAAAGAGGGGGGAGGGAAGUGGCACAAAGCAGCCUUAGUGGGGUGGGUUUGAGCGCAUGGAACAUUUACACUUAGUGCGAUGCACCACUUGUUAUCGCAAUGCACCCUUCACAAUUACCCAGUGCGUAUGCAGGUGGCCUGUGUAGGUGCUCACACAUGCUGUUCUAGUGUAAGCCCACAGCUUUUGUCACACUGUGAAGUGUUAGUUUGCACUUCAUUGUGAUACAAUAUUGCAAUUGUGAUACAACAUUUUUUCUGAGUUGUCAAAAGUUCCCCCUGCGCUGACGUUCCGAAUAAUUUCUCAAAAACAUUUGACUGCUUCUGCAUUGACUACAUCCAAUUGGCAAAUGAAUUAGUUACACUUUGAUAUGUCACAUAACAUGUUCUGGCUAGCACUUUUUGAAAUACUCUAUAAUACAUCAAAAUUUAAACCAUCUGAAAAUCAGUGUCUUUGACUGUGGUAAGGACAGAUGUAACCAUACAGUCCCACCAGGUGUUUGUUUCAUGUGCUUUUGCUCUAUAUAGCUUGUUUACUGUGGUCUGUGUACUUCAAGCUAUGGUGUAAACAUGAUUACAGUACUUGUGGCAUUUAAGCUGCAUAUGCUUAACUGGCACUAAGAGACCAUCACUUCAAAUUUUUGAAAUAUAUCGAACAGAGGUUAUAUUUGCAUGUUACAUGUGUGCAAAUUUCUGGCAUCUGAGAGCCAAACGAGAACUUAUUGGAACACCAUACAUUGGAAUGUGGUUGUCUGUAUGGAAGGAUUUUUGUCGUUAUGUACUCUACUUAUUCCAUAUUUAUCGCUUGGUUUGUAGAGUUGACAGCCGAUCAAUGACUUGUAAGGAAAUCAGUCCCUGUAGAAAGCAGUACAGAAGAGCGUUUUCACACUGUUUAAUUGACCAAGUUUUAUGCAUGUGUUGGAAAUGUGUGUUGUUGCAUGUUUCAUUCCUCACAAGGUCUAGGCAAUUUUGUACAAUAUAAUAGUAUUGCCAUUAGCUGCUGGUUUGGUUCAUUUCUGCACUGACAUGGUAAUAUAAUAUCAAGUGCUUUUAUGUCAAAAUAUGUAGACCAGUACAGAAAUGCAUACUACAGAGUCCACAGUCAGGCAUUAGAGUUGACGCAUAUGGCAUAACAUGGUACGUCUUCAUUUUUCAGGAGCAUAAGUUUUUUUUUUUUGUUUCUUUAGUUCUAUACACCAGCUCCAAAGAGGCAUGGUGACACAUAGUGUAAGCAAAAACCAGUUAAUUGACUGCGCUGACACUUCAUUUCAUUGCUGUACACAAGUUUGAACAGUGAACUUUGCCGAUUAACUUUGGAAAAAUUGCCCCCAAGUAUGAGUCUAAGUAUUAAGUUUUAGUAUUAAGUCUAAGUAUUAAGGUUGUCAAAAGCCUCAUUUGCUUAUGCUGAAACACUACCACUUAUUCGUGACAACACAUAGAUCUACAACUCACCUGUAGGUCUCAUUAAUGAGGUUACUGCAUGAAAGCAGCUCACAUUGGACUGUAUAUAUUCUUGACGGCCAUGAACUAUUACUAGUAGUGCUGCUACUUCCAAUGGAUAGAAUUUGGAAUUUCUGGCAUAUAUUGUGUCAUAAAUAGCCAGCUCAAGUCCAUCCACCUUAGUGGCUUGCAGUGAUACUGUAAAUGAUUAUGCCAUCUUUGACAUGAUGCCACAGACUGUUUCAGGCAUCACAUGUUGUACUGCAAUUGUUUUUAGUCGCAUGCGAGAGUUUUAGCCUGUCUGUACAUGCAUUGCAGUUUAUGGAAAUACUGGAACGCCAGGGGCAUGAAUGGCAGCUGUAUCGCUGGCAGUGACUUCUUGUGGUUUGUUCAGCCACAAAGCAUAAUUAAUGUUUUUGGGUUUCAUGCUGUUAUCAUUGAAGGGAAAAGGAAAGAGCCACUCUACAUUCAUGAUUGUGUUGCUUCUAAUGUCUCUAUGCCAGCAGCUGACACAGGCCUGUCAUUGCAAUAACAGUUUCAUUGCAAGAUGGUGCCACUAAUGCCACUGCUGAUAAUGUAUUGGUGUCUUUUCCAUUGCAAUAGGUGAUUGACAGAUAAAUUUCAGAUCUGGCAAAUACAAAAUGUCCUCUAAGUCACUGGUGGCAAGGUGCUAUACACUGGGUGCGGCUGACCCUGCAAGUCUCUUGCAUGCCGCCAGUGCUCCAGUCUUCUUUUGGAUUUCUCUGCUACGUCCCAGUACUGUUGUUUUUAUGUGGGCUGCAUCCCAGUAGAGAUGCUUUUUAUGUUAGCUCCUGGAAACCCAGCGCCAUCACUAGCAACCACUGUUUCAUUGGGCAGGUCCAUGUUCCCAUGCUUAGGUGUGUCCCCGGUGAAGCUGUGCAGUUUUAGUGACGGGUAAUGUAGCAUAACAUGUGGUAUAGACUCCUCAGUCAGGCUGCAGGGCAGGCACAUAGCGUCAAAGUGGGUGUGUACUUUGCUCACAGCAGUCGGGUGUGCAGCAUUCUGGAUCUGGCGUCGCUUGGGAGCUUGCUUCUUUUUGAGUUUUCGUACAGUGGUUUUCAUUCAAUUUCUGGUUUUACCUUACUAUAUAUAGAGAUUCAAAGCGAGCUUGCUUACUGCUGUCACCUUCCUUUUUCUUUUCAACUUUGACGUGGUACCGCACUUUGCUUUGCCUAUCUCGCUGCAGUGGAACGUGAGGUGGCUUGGUAGAACUCCAUACGGCUCAGCGAGACGAUCCAUUUGGUGUUUUGGCAUUUCAUGUGGAUGCAUUUUAAUGCCUUACGCACUCAGCACCUGUCCAGUAUCUGGCUUAGCCUUCUUUUGUACAUGAGUUUUGCGACUGUAACUCGUGCCUCAAAAGAGGACUAUCCCAUGUCUCCUCUGCAUUGCUUCCUUAAGUACCCCACCGUAGACUUCCAGUGCCAUCCUACCCACUCAUUUCUCUCGUGUUUCUAGGCAUUGGCUUGUCACAGAGGACAGACACAUCACAGAGUUUGCAAGCAUCAAAGCUGGUGUUGCAACUGCCUUCCAGAGCUCUCUGGUGACCUCAAAUUUGUUCUAAGGCCAGAGUGGCCCUGGAGCCCAGUAACGCAUAUUUUUAGAUAGCUUUUUAUGUCAGGUCAGCUUCAUAGUGUUGAGUGUAGUUCGUUGCUGGAGACAGCGCCACUCUCAUACACUUGUGGGGGGUCAUACAUUUAACAGUGUUGCCCUGGAGUAUAAGCUUCAUUUUUGUGCCUUGUGUGGUCCUCUCUUGGUUCAUCACCAUGCAUGCUGACUUAACAGAGCUGAAGAGUACGCUGAGGGUUCGCGCCUCCUUCCAACACAUGUCCAACAACCGCUGCAGGUUUUUUGCAUUGUCGGCCAGGAGCAUGAUGUCAUCAGCAUAGAAAAGGGCAGGCAGGAACGAGGGCAAACAGUUCCCUGAUCCCAGUAGCUGAAAUCAAGACCUAUGUCACAUUCCACCAGCUUUCACCAUGCCAGCAACAAAAAGCAUAAAGAGCAGGGGAAAAAGAGGGCAUUCCUGACACAGCCCUUUGGGUAUUCUUAUUGAUUGUGUCCUUUCGUCUUCUCAGUGAACUACUGCUUCAUUAUUCCUGUACACUGCCUCUAGGAUUUGCUGUACGUUUGCAGGCAUAGCUUGCUCCUUUAGCAAUGCCUACAGCAGGUAAAGGUCCACUGAGUCAUUGGCACGUGAGAUAUCCAGGAAAGCUAGUACUAGAAGAUCUCUUUCCUCUUUUGCCACGAUUUCAAUUGCUUGUGUCACCACAGACAGAUUAUCUUCCAGGCAGUGUCCCUGUCAAAAGCCAUUUCGAAGCUCACCAAGCACCCCCUCAGCAAGAUCCCCAUGCGUCUCCACAUGAUAUGGCAGAAGAGCUUGUACAACGCCAAUGUAGCAGCGAUUGGUCGGUAGCUGUUUUGCUGGUUCUUAAUGCUACCUUUCUUCAAGAUCAGCCUAAUAUGUGAGCACUUCCAGCUCUUGUGGAUUUCACCACUCAUCAGAACUAUGCCACCAGUAUUCUGUAAAUGGUAAUAUACAUAUAUGGACAAGCUAAAACCCUCUAUAGAUAGCACAUGGUAUUUACAAAGGUUGUAGGCUUCUUAGAACAGAGUAUUUGAUGAGAGAUUAUAUGUAUGUUUUGAGGUUGAAAACUCAUGAAGAACAGUCUGUUAUCAGCAGUUUAUAUUUCUGCAAAGUUAGUAGGUGAACGAUCUUAUUCACAAGAGAAUGUUGGUUUCCUCCAGCUUUAACCAAAUUUUCCUUCAUUUUUGUUUCAUGCAGAGGGGGAGUUGCAGUAAUCGUUUUGAACAAAAAUUAGUUCUAAUGGCUACUUUACAAAAUCUCACAGCAUCUGCACACUUGUUUCGAUAUAGUAUGAUCAAAAGGAGCAGGCAUAUUAAUAGUACUGCAUUUUCUUUGCUAGCGUCUAUUAAUACGUGAUCCAUUAAUGUGACUUGUUGCACUGCUAAGCACUAAGCACAAGGUUGUGUGUUUGAUCCAGCCUAUGGCAGUCACGUUACGAUGGGGGCUAAAUGAAGAAUUCAUGUAUACUGUGCAUUGAAGGCACUUUAAAAAAACCUCAGAUGGUCAAAAUUAAUAUGGCACUUUGGGGUCUUUUUAACCCACUGUGCAGUUUCAGAAUUUUAAACCCCACAAUUUUUUUUGCAUUUAACCAUUUUUUUAAAUUAUAUAAAACUAAAGCCCUCUAGACACUUUUACUUUGAACUCUGGGUCGUUAGAACCUGUUUUGCAUGCUGUGCAUGCUUUUUUUUUUUUUUUUAUUGUAAGAGAUUGGUAGUACUAGAUUAGUAGUAAUUGGUGCUUCAAAUUUGAUUGUGCUUUUGAAGUCCUUGGAUGUCUUUAUAGUACCUAUUGUUCCUUGAUCUGUGCGUGCUUUUUAGCAAACUUGCAUUAUUGUCAUACACAUGAGGUGGCUGUCUUUUUGCGAAUGUCACUGACUGCUCACAAUGUGAUCGUAAGAGCAAAAUGUUUGAAAACGUCCUGCCGUCUUCUUUUUUGAAAACAGAGCUGUCUUGAACUACAUACUGAGCAACAUGUUUCUUUGGUUAAAGGGGCCAUGACACAGUUAUCCUACUAUUCUCAGUUUAUCAUUGUAACUGAGAGAAUGGGGGCCAAUAUGGUUACACACACGAAAAAAACUGAGCUCUCAGUGCACAUUUCAACUUGAAAUUUCAAUUUGAAAUUGCUACUUUGUAGCCCCUUCUUUGGACAGUGAUCACCAUUUUUGCUUAUCAACUGUGUGAUUUUAGGAAGUGUGGGGGCACCACUGUGCCAUGCGCUCCAAAACAGUCCAAAAUCACAUCAGACAUCUUGAACCGAAUGCUCUGGCACACAAUGGUGCAGAAAGGCCAACAUCAUUGAAUUUUGCUCGCUAGUCUUUCACUUGUGUGAUAAAAGCAGCAUAUACCAGAGAAUAGAUGCAGGAACUAUCUCGGGCUGACUGUGGAGAUGCACAUGCAAGAAUGAAAUGAAGCAUUGCAACCAUGAUUUAUUUCCAACUCCUGCAAUCACUUCUGGCAUUUGCACUACAAAAAAGCAUGGCUUUCGAGAUUGGCUUCUAUUACUUCGAAGGAGCCACUGCUGGGGAUGCAUUGUCAUUUCGUCACCAGUUACUGUUGCCAGACUGCGGUGUGGUUGAACUGCGUUAUAAAAAAAAUUCAAAUAUAAACUUUCUGUAGCACUGAAUACACUUAAAUUAUGCCAGCUUGCUGCAGGACAAAUAUGGUUUAACAUGCAAUGUAUAAUUCAAGCUAGAAAAUUUGGUGUGAUGGCCGCUUUUGUUGCCAGAUUCAUGUGUUACCCACUUAUUUCAUAUACAGUACCUGUUUGGUUUGAGUGUCAUAAUUUAUAAAGUGCCUGCAUGCUGAUCCCAGAUAUGUUCUUGCUAUUGAAGCCCGGACAAAGUGAAAUGUUUGGCUUUCACAUUACUGUGAUCAUUGUUGUAUGUAUGAGUGAUGCAGCUACAUGCCCCAGAUGCUUGACCAGUGCUCAGCACUUUACGGUCUUGUAGCUGCACAUGCUUGAAAAAUACUAGUCUACUGCACACGAACAUUCUCACUCAAAAAUAUAGCUCAGACUUGUGUCCCUCUGUACAUAGUGUUGAUUUCAUAGUCAUAAGCAACCAUUUUACACCAGCUGUAUAUGUAGAUACGGAUUGCAUCACUGACAAAUAAAGUGGUUCUUCACUGCA